CAGUCCAGAGCCUAUUUUCAUAAGUUUGGACUAGAUUGACGCUAAAAUCAGUCAAUAGUAAAACCUUUGUUUUAUUUUACCAGUUAAAACACUCAGUAACACCAGCUUGAUGUCAGAUAUCACCCUUGUAAUUGCAAAGCCCAUUAGUGUCAAGAUCAGAUCAAUAUUUGUCUUGAAAUCCGCAACAGUUGUUCAAGUGCCUAUAACUGCUCAUCAGCAGGUCAUAAAACGAAGCUUCAAGAUUGAAGGAAAAUGUCUAGAAAUUAAGAAAUUUGCGGAGGGAUAUAAUUAACCAAUAAGCAACAAUCCAGAAUGUGAUUUAUCAAUAUGACUACUAAAAUGUGAAAUAAAAUUGAUUUUGACUGAACUGUUUAGGAUACACAACUUUGAUAGUCUGCUUAAAUUUUGUUGAACUUUAUCAGUUAAUUGAAACUAAUUCCCACAAUAUUUAGCUGAAAUCAAUAAUGGAUUAUCUCGGAAUAUCUUUAUAAAACAUUUCUUUGGAAGAUGUCAUUGAUGAAGAAACCAACACAUUAGGAAUAUCCCUUGAGGAAAUGGAAACCUCUUUAAAUGCUCAGGAUUUGUCAAAGCAUAUCUUUGAGUUUGAUGAUGAAUUUAUCUUCAGCCUAAAGGAGUCCGAUGAACCAUUGGCUGUUGUUAGUCCAGAGGAACCCACACAGCCACUUCAUACAUCAACACCAAAGAAACCCAUACAU